rnacentral:rRNA from 1 species
GACGAACGCUGGCGGCGUGCUUAACACAUGCAAGUCGAACGGACAGGCCCUGCUUUUGUGGGGUGCUCGAGUGGCGAACGGGUGAGUAACACGUGAGUAACCUGUCCUUGACUUUGGGAUAACUUCAGGAAACUGGGGCUCAUACCGGAUAGGAUCUCCUGCUGCAUGGUGGGGGUUGGAAAGUUUCGGCGGUUGGGGAUGGACUCGCGGCUUAUCCGCUUGUUGGUGGGGUAGUGGCUUACCAAGGCUUUGACGGGUAGCCGGCCUGAGAGGGUGAACGGCCACAUUGGGACUGCGAGACGGCCCAGACGCGUACGGGAGGCAGCGGUGGGGAGUAUUGCACAAUGGGCGGAAGCCUGAGACAGAAACGCCGCGUGCGGGAUGACGGCCUUCGGGUUGUAAACCGCUUUCGCCGGUGACGAAGCGUGAGUGACGGUAAUGGGUAAAGAAGCACCGGCUAACUACGUG